rnacentral:ncRNA from 1 species
AAAUCGAAUACAUUCACUCAUAUAAUGGCGGAAAUAUGGUCCGCAAGUUUCUACCGGUUUGCCGUAAACAAACUGACUAUGAGGGCAACG